GUAAGUGAAAUUUUUUAAAAUUCAUUCCUUGAAUUGAACAUUACCAAUAAAUCUAAAUAAUGGUAACACUUUCAAACAUUUCAAAUAGAAAAUACAAUGAAUAUUUGUCCUUUAUUAUUACUAUUAAUAGUAUUUAUCCAAACCUUAGAACUUCACCAUGCUUGUAGCAUUAUAUUUGUAAUGAUAGUCAAUCAAAUAUAUCAAAUCAAAAUGUUCCAAUCUAUGACAUUAAUGCUUAACUCAUUUCACAACCUGUGGUACACUGAUCUUAACAAAAUUCCUUAGAAACGUUAAGUCAACUUUUAGUACACUGAAAACCUAAUUCAGGGCAGUUUAACACCUUAAUCAUGUAUUUAUUUGAUCAUUCUUUGUUUAAAGAUUAUACAUUGACAUUACAAAUGAAAUCUAAGAAAAAGUUCCUUCUUUACAUCUUAUUAACUUCAGGAAUAUGAUUUAAGGUGGAUCACAUCAUUUUAGUGACAAAUUAUCCCUAUAUUUCACAGAACUCACAACAAAACAGAUUGUACUUUAACCAUAUGUUAGACGUCUGUAAAACAAUUGCCAGAUCAAACCUUGCUAAGGUAUCUGCAGUGGUGGUGGCGGCAAAUGAAGCUGAAGACAACUAAAGUGCAACAAGUGUUGGCCCAUACCGUAAUAUCCACAAGAUUUCAUAAUUUUCCUUUUUUGCGUUGAUGUGCUGUGUUUUUGUGUUUUUGGUUUGAAGCAGACUAAUGUUUGCCCAUGGCGUAGUAUGCACAAGAUUUCAUAAUUUUUCCUGUUUUGCGUUGAUUUGUUGUGCUUUUGUGUUUUUGAAUUGAAGCAGACAAAUGCUGGCCCAUGGCGUAAUAUCCACAAGAUUUCAUAAUUUUUCCAUUUUUGCGUUGAUUUCUUCUGUUUAUGCGUGUUUGAUUUAAAGCAGACAACGAACCAU